rnacentral:rRNA from 2 species
UAAUACGUAGGGUGCGAGCGUUGUCCGGAAUUACUGGGCGUAAAGGGCUCGUAGGUGGUUUGUCGCGUCGUCUGUGAAAUUCUGGGGCUUAACUCCGGGCGUGCAGGCGAUACGGGCAUAACUUGAGUGCUGUAGGGGUAACUGGAAUUCCUGGUGUAGCGGUGAAAUGCGCAGAUAUCAGGAGGAACACCGAUGGCGAAGGCAGGUUACUGGGCAGUUACUGACGCUGAGGAGCGAAAGCAUGGGUAGCGAACAGGAUUAGAUACCCUGGUAGUCCAUGCCGUAAACGGUGGGCGCUAGGUGUGAGGGUCUUUCUACGACUUUCGUGCCGUAGCUAACGCAUUAAGCGCCCCGCCUGGGGAGUACGGCCGCAAGGCUA